rnacentral:rRNA from 1 species
AACGAACGCUGGCGGCAGGCCUAACACAUGCAAGUCGAGCGCUCACCUUCGGGUGGGAGCGGCGCACGGGUGAGUAACACGUGGGAACCUACGUUGAAGUACGGAAUAACUGAGGGAAACUUCAGCUAAUACCGUAUACGCCCUACGGGGGAAAGAUUUAUCGCUUCAAGACGGGCCCGCGUUGGAUUAGCUAGUUGGUGAGGUAAUGGCUCACCAAGGCAACGAUCCAUAGCUGAUUUGAGAGAAUGAUCAGCCACACUGGGACUGAGACACGGCCCAGACUCCUACGGGAGGCAGCAGUGGGGAAUAUUGGACAAUGGGCGCAAGCCUGAUCCAGCCAUGCCGCGUGAGUGAUGAAGGCCUUCGGGUUGUAAAGCUCUUUCAGAUGGGACGAUGAUGACGGUACCAUCAGAAGAAGCCCCGGCUAACUUCGUGCCAGCCGCCGCCGUAA